AGCCCCGUUAAAGCAAUCAUUUACAUUGGAACCGGAGAAGUCCACAUGUACUUCCCCUAUGAGAAGGUACGUCGUUGUUUUGAUGACCCUAACUAUAUAGUUGAAGACUCCAAGCAGGUCAGACAAGAAGAAGACGACGCAACUGCGACCAGAGAAGGCAAAUCAUCAAGGACGGAUGGGCAGACUACGAAGGAGAAGUAAUAAGGUCUGAAGACAUACAGCUUGAACAGAACUGUCCUGAGGAGACCGUAGCACCGAGUCAGGUGUGGAGAGAGAAGAUAGUUAUACACGAAGAGCAGGCGCCGCUGGAACCACCGACUACGCCAUCCAGCGAAUCCCAGGACGACUGAGGAAACGGAGAGUCCCGUUCGGAGGACUUAAAAACACUGAACGCCUUGCCAAGAGGUAAACUUGGUAGUUAUCUUUUUCCUUUCAAUUAUUUAAAAUAGUUUGCUUAGUUAAUUAGGUUCACAUCAUCUUGAAAUGUUGAAAAUAGUAAGCCCCAUGUGAGUAUGCUCAUGGCAUAAAACCCAUAAGUACAUUCACUAUGGUGGCGCAAAAAUGAAAUAAAUAUAUUCUUGUCCUAUAAAAAUAAAAUUAUAAAAAUAAAUGAUCCUACUAAGAGAGUAACAUUAAUUGAGGAGGCUCAACAUGAUAAAGGCUAGAUAUUUAUGCUAACACUUAACCAGUUCCACAAAGUUUUGUUGUCUAUUUGAGCUCCACAGAAUUUAAGGAUUAAAGAAGACUAGCAGAUGGAGGACAUCCUAAUCGCUAUCAGGGUGCUACCGACAUUCAAAUACACCUCCACCACCUACUAGCUACACUAGAAGAAAUUGCGUCAAAAUCCAGCUUGGGGAGAGCACCCCAAUUUAUCCAGCUAAGUAUUCUACUCACGUUUAUACUUUACUCUAAUAAUAAAAUGAUGCAUAAUCAUAAGAACCCAAAUAAAGAUUUUGUGCUUAUAUAUAUAUCUUUGCUUAGUUUGCUAAAUAAAUAAAUAAAUAAAGUUUGCUAUGAACUCUCAUGAUAAGCUCUCAUAUGGAAAUGAUGAAUAGUUGCUCUGCCAUGACUAGCUCUCAAAAUUGAAAUCUCUCUCAAGUUUAGGCAUGACUGUUAUUAAUUAAGAUUUACUCUAAACCUGAACUUGUGGGGAGAGUACUAGAUCUAAAGUCUAAGUCGUUAGCGGAUACGAUAUGGGAAGGUUGAGCUGUUGUUUAUCUGUUCCUAGAGAUGCUAGAAAAUUGGAGAAUUUUUAUCAUUGAAAAUCUUUAAAAUGUUGCAUGCUGAGUUCCUAUAUGAUGAGAGUUUAAAUUCCUACCACAGCCAUAUAUACAUGCUUGCUAGACUUUGAGCCACACAUUUACUUUUUACUGCUUAUGAGCAUUGAGUGUGGUCAAGCUGUGUAGACCCUUAGGAGCUUGUCGUGUGGUUAAGUCAAGAUUCACUUGCACGUUCACUCACACAUGCUGCUUCUACUCCGAAAGUACGCAUCCACAUAUAUCCACCCAUUUCCAUCUUUAGAAUCACCUAAAAAUAUUCUACUCCUAAUCCGGGAGAGAAUAGCCAAAAACAUUUCUGUUUUUCCCGUGAAAUAAAUGCUCAAGUUAUCUUGGUUACUACCACUUGCUAUAUUAUUUCAGAAGAUGAGUGCUCUAAAAAAAAGAGAGAGAGAAAAAAGGGGCAAGUUCCCGGAACCUUGAAAGAAAAGAAAAAGUGAGACGAGAGGUAAAAAUGGACAAGAGUCCGACAGUAGAAUUAGGGGUACAAGAUACCCACCUGAGAGGAAAGAAAAAGAAAAUAUAGAGCAUCUCAUUCCCCUCAAAAGUCUCAAGUGCAAGGAAGGUAUGAACCCCCUCAAAAGAGCAAUUAGACUUUCACCAUUGUUAUCACCAUCAUUACCAUACACCAUUCAUUCGCCACACAUGCACAUAUUGAUUUGACUUAUUGACUUGUUUUUCUAGAUCCAUAGAUUGACUAUGCAAUAAAUGUCUUGUAAGUAUGUAUUAGCUAUGUCCCACUUAUGAGCUCCAGAUAUCAAAACAUUAUUAGAGUGAGAGAAGGCAAUGCCACUAUGCCUCAUACCAAAAAUACCACAUACUUUGAGAGAAGGCAUACACCAUUACUGCCUUGGUAAGGAUCCAAAAAUACCACAAAAGAGAGACUAGAGAGAGUCAUACAAGGAAUCUCUAAGUUUUAUUUGAAAAUCUGCAAAAACUCCAGAGCUAUAGUUAAUCAAAGAAUAAGAGACAUGGCGCUUGACUCGACCGUUCUAUCUUUUAACUGCUCAAGACACAAGUGACGGUUACAAGCCCCAUGGUGGAAGGUAAAAUAAUUAAGUUUAAAUAUUAACAGUUUACCCUAACCCAGAGAUGAGAUCUUGUUUGAACGCAUGUAUAUCUUUAAGGUAUGAAACCACUGCAGAAACUCUUGAGUUCAUCUUUGCUCAGGGACGAGCAAAGGUUAAGCUUGGGGGAGCUUGUUGACGGUUCUUAAUGCUCACAUUUAACCAUAAACUAAUCAUGGAAAAGGAUCCAAAUGCAACCAACACCCAGACUUAGGGUUUUAUCUCUCAGAAUUUCACGAGUUUUGGUGUUUGUUUAUUUCUGCAGGGGGUUAUCAUGAAAUACGGAAGAAAGGCCCACACGUCGGGUUUACAUAGAGAUAUUAACGUGCCGCGCAAUUUUCUAUCGUCUAGAAGACUCCAGAAGCCACGGGACCGAAGCGAAGGCCGAGAGGGCUCAGGGACAGGGCGCCCGCCCACUUCUAGAGUCUAAUCAGGACAUGUUUCGCGGAUUAUGCUCCAUCGACCUAAAGGAUCAAGGAAAACCGUGCGAUUAAUGUCAGUUUGAUCCGACGGUCCAGAUUCAUCUGAAAAGACUAUAUAAGCAAGGCCCCCUGGCCCUUGGAGAUCAUACCUCUUCUACAUAAUCAAAGCUAGGGUUUCAAUUCUUCAUCCAAGUAGAGAGGAUCCCUCUAGUUCUUCUAGUUCUACCUCUAGUUAAAUAGUUUGCUUAGUUAAUCAUGUUCAUACUAUCCUAAAAAGAAAAUAAAAAUGUUAAAACCAGCAUAAAACUCAUAAGUACAUUCACUGUGGUGGCAUAAAAAUAAAAUAAAUAUAAUCCUAUCCUAUAAAAAUGAGAAUAUAAAAAUAAAUUUAUGAUCCUACCAAAGAGAGUAAUAUUUAUUAGAGGAAGCUCAACAUGAUAAAGGCUAGAUAUUUAUGGUAACACCUAAUCAGUUCCACAAAGCAUUGUUGUCUAUUUGAGCUCCACAAAAAUCAAAAAGACUAGCAGACGGAGGACAUUCUAAUCGCUGUCAGGGUGUUGCUGACUUUCAAAUACACCUCUACCACCUGCUAGCUACAUCAGAAGAAAUUACGUCAAAAUUCAGCUUGAGGGAGAGCACCCCCAUUUAUCUCGCUAAGUAUUUCUAUCUACAUUUAUACUUAUACUAUAUUAAAAUAAAAAUAUACAUAACCAUGAAAAACCAAAUAAAGAUUUUGUGCUUAUAUAUAUAUAUAUCUUUUGCUUAGUUUGUUUAAUAAAUAAAUAAAGUGGCUAUGCUAAACUGAAUCUUAAUAAUAAACUCUAGCAUGGAUGUGAUAAAUAGUUGCUCUGCCUAAUUUUCAAAUUUGAAGUUUUCUCUCUAGUUUAGACAUAACUGUUAUAAUUUAAAGCUUACUCUAAACCUGAACUUGUAGGAAGAGAACUUGAUGUGAAGUCUAAGUUGUUAACGGAUAUGAUAUGGGAAGGUUGAGCUGCUGUUUAUCUGUUCCUAGAGAUGCUAGAAAUCUGGAGAAUUUUAUCUUUGAAAAUCUUUAAAAUAACACAUGAUGAGUUUCUGUAUGAUGAGAGUUUAAGUUCCUACCACAGCCAUAUAUACAUGCUUGCUAGACUUUGAGCCACACAUUUACUUUUUACUGCUUAUGAGCAUUGAGUGUGGUGAAGCUGUGUAGACCCUUAGGAGCUUGUCAUAUGGUUAAAAUCAAGAUUCACUUGCACGUUCACUUACACAUGCUGCUUCUACUCCGGAAGUACGCAUCCACAUAUAUCCACCCAUUUCCAUCUCCAGAACCACCCAAAAGUAUUCUACUCCUAAUCCGGUAGACAAUAGCCAAAAACAUUUUUGUUCACCCCUGUAAAAUAAAUACUCAAGUUAUCUUGGUUACUGCCACUUGCUAUAUUAUUUCAGAAGAUGAGAGCUCUAAAAAAAGAGAGAAAAGAGAAAAGAUACAAGGAAAUAAAAAGGGGCAAGUGCCCGGAACUUCGAAAGAAAAGAAAAAGUGAGACGAGAGGUAAAAAUGGACAAGUGUCCGAUAGUAGAAUUAGGGGUACAAGAUACCCACCUGAGAGGAAAUAAAAAGAAAAAUAUAGAGCAUCUCAUUCUCUUCAAAAAGUUUUAGAAGAGAAAGAAAGGUAGGUAUCCCCUCAAAGAGCAAAAGUAGAAUUAGACUUUCACCAUUGUUAUCACCAUC
rnacentral:lncRNA from 1 species